CCGAUAGUUGUCCCGAGUCCUAAUUGUUGUAUUUUCGAAGUUGGUUUGGAGGAAAAUUGAUGAAAAAUUGAGUUUUUGGAAAGUUGAGUUUUUAAGAGUUAAAGUUUGGUUAAAAGUGCUAUUUCGAGUCAUUUGGAGUUUCGAGACUCGAAUCGGAUUUCUGUCGAUUCCAGCAGUUUUAGAAUGUCAAAACGGGUCUAUGAGAAUUUACGGAGUCGAAUUUGGAGUUAAAACGAAGAUUUGAGGUCCUAAGUUGCUAAAAUUGUGAAAUUUUGAUCAAGAGUUGACUUUGGUCAACAAACGAGGUUCCGGUGCUCGAAAUGAAAUUCCGAGGGCACCGUUGGAUUCAGGGGGUGAUUCUAAGUCUAGAAUGAGUCUUGGUUGAAUUUUAGAGGCCACGAGUGCGUUUUGAGUUUUUGAGCCUAAAGUUAGUUUCUUGACGCCUUAUCGGAUACCGGGUCAAGGAGACCUCGAAUUCAAAUUCCGACGAUUUCAUUGAGUCCGAAAUGUCAUUUUCAAGCUAGUAGCAUAUUUGGUUUGUGUUCGGGAAGUGCCAAAUGAGUUUUGG
rnacentral:lncRNA from 1 species